ACGGGGGGAGCAAGCGUUGUUCGGAUUUACUGGGCGUAAAGGGCGCGUAGGCGGCCACCGCAAGUCGACUGUGAAAUCUCCGGGCUUAACCCGGAACGGUCAGCCGAUACUGCGGGGCUAGAGUGCAGAAGGGGCAACUGGAAUUCUCGGUGUAGCGGUGAAAUGCGUAGAUAUCGGGAGGAACACCUGUGGCGAAGGCGACCCCCUGGUUGGAUACUGACGCUGAGACGCGAAAGCGUGGGGAGCAAACAGGA
rnacentral:rRNA from 1 species